UACGUAGGUGGCGAGCGUUUGUCCGGAUUUACUGGGCGUAAAGGGAGCGUAGGCGGAUUUUUAAGUGAGAUGUGAAAUACCCGGGCUCAACUUGGUGCUGCAUUUCAAACUGGAAGUCUAGAGUGCAGGAGAGGAGAGUGGAAUUCCUAGUGUAGCGGUGAAAUGCGUAGAGAUUAGGAAGAACACCAGUGGCGAAGGCGACUCUCUGGACUGUAACUGACGCUGAGGCUCGAAAGCGUGGGGAGCGAAACAGGAUUCGAGAUCCCGGAGUAGUCACG
rnacentral:rRNA from 1 species